rnacentral:lncRNA from 10 species
CCCCACCUACCUCGUGAACAGUAAACCCAAGGUCCUCUUCUUUGCCUCCAUCCUUACUCUGAAUUGUCUGUGAAUUCAGGGACUUACAGUUUCAAGAUAUAAGACCUGGAGUCUGACCGGUAGACUAAACAUCCACUCCAGGCCCCUGCUAACCCCGAGGAAGAAGCCUGGAGGUAGAGGGAGGAGAAAUGAGAACAACUCAGGCCGGUGGCCAAGGUGAGGCCUGCGGGUAGGGGGCGCAGUGCCUGGCACACGAAUGGCACUUAAUUUUCUGAAUAAAUAACUGAUUACUUGGUUCAUCUCUGGGAACAUUGAGUUUGCUAUUGAGUUGCCCCAUCAAACUCUUGGUCCACAGGUCAAUCCCCAGCUUCAAUAUCUCACCCCACGAUCGACCUCUUUCGCUGAAGUCAGGAGUGACAGCAAUUAACUCCUCCGCUGCACCGUCCCCAGGGCCAGAUGCCACGUGAGAGACCCCAGGCUGGAGCGAGAACCGGACACCUGGCAGGGAGCUAGCGGGAGGGCUUGGGGAAUCUGCAAAUGUUCACAGUUCCAAGGGACCGCGGGGGAAAUUUACACCUCCUCCCCCUACUGCUUGUGCUUCCUUUCGCUUUGAAGUUCUGUGGCUCCGCACUGGAGUUGGGGAGGCAAGUCCUCCAGCCUCGGGCUUUUAAUAUUCACAUCACGUCCUCUUUGCAGCUACUUUGGGAGGAUUGAAAGCUACAAAGGACGUUUGGGUGACCUCCCCACAACACAAGGUGGGGUGGGGGGUUUCAACCCACACUGCCCCAUCUUGAAUCGCCAUGGAUGACCAAGUAGUUGAAACACGACGGGGGACUUAGGUGCCAGUCCUUCUAGGCAGAAGGGCCCUCUUGGGGAUUAUGACUUCAUGCGGAGGCAGUAACACUGCAAGAGAUUUAUAGCUAUCUCUGGUCUCCUGCAUUUUGAUACCACAGGGUUACCGUCUCCAAUUCUCACAGUUACACAGAGAGAAGUAUACGCUAAGUCUUGUAUAGCUGGCCACAGUGAAAAUCACACAGCAUUGGACUGCAGGACCAUCAGCAUCUUAUUCGGAGAAUUUCUAGCUGUAUCUCAGAGUUGCAACAUAUUAUUGUUGGUCAUGUCAUUCCAUGGUACUGACAUCUUCUAAAAGUAUUGGAUGGCACAUGUAAAUUAAAAUAAAAUGAAUAUUUAAUUUCAUUUUUAGAAUACUUAGCAGUAUUUUGCAAUUACCCUGGAGAACUGGCAGCUCCAUGGGCUGCUGCAAAGCCAGGGCUAGCAAUCCCUGCCAGAGAAGACCACUAGCAUCAACUGCUUCUAAGAAGUCAGGAAUGGUAUGAAAUGGAAGCAGAAUAUGUCACUGUCACUGCUUUGAUUUGAUUUUUUAAAAUCAAGAAUUGGCUUUCCCAAGUAGGUACCAGAACAGUGCUACUGUUCAAAUAUUUCUUAAAACUCUGUACUGUCAAUUAUGGGAAAGCAAAGCCUGGGCACUUCCCCUGCCCUCCCUGACCAAUUCCAGCAAGGAAAACCAUCUGUUUUUCCUUGGGCAAAGCCCAGAACAACUGAAUGCUCAGUGCAACAAGAAACAGUUCCUCCCACCAUUCCUCUGCCUCAUCCAAAUACAGCUGUUUGCUUCAGUCUGCAAGUGACUGAAUGCACGGGCGAUUUUUGUGUCCAUUGUGUGAAAACAAACUAACAUUUGCAACCCACUUUUAGAGUUUUCAAAGCAUUUUUCCCUCUUCUAUAUCCUGUGCUCUUUCUUCACACACAAUCACAAGUUAGAGGUAAACUGAAGUUUUUAUGAUGUACUCAACCUUCCCCCCUCAUCAGAGUGUCAAAUCAGGUUGAAAAUGAAAUUGGUAAAUAGCUAUUUGAGAAUUGUAGGAACAUUUUUAUGUUUUCUGAGAAAUAAUCAAUUAAAAUUGAAUUUUAAUCACAUCCCCACCUUCCAAAAUGAGAGUUGAAGUUCUGAUGUUUUAAAAUUUGACCAAACUAGUAUCUAUGCUGUUUUAUUCUAUUCAGUUCAACGGAGCAGUUAUUUAUUCAGCAUUCACUGUGCACAGGGUAUAUGCCAUACAACCUCAAGCAAGGCUGGUCAUGGCUCUAGAAGGAUCUUAGGGGUCUGUGGAGAACAUUAGACAGUGAGGAAAUGGGCUAGGGUGUGAGUGAUCCUUUGAAAUGUGGGAGCACAGGGUGCUGAGGGAGCUCCAGGAGGGACACUAACUCCAUCUUGGGAGAACAUUUCUCAUGUGGCUUCACAUCUUCACAGUAUGUUAAGCAGAAACAUACUGUUUGAAUUAUAGACAGUGGUGUGAAAGCAUCCUGUUUGGGAAAAGCAAAUGAAAACAUGCAUAUUUUUCCCCUUGGCUUUGUCCAUGUUCAUCAUGUUUUCUUCCAAGUUCCUCCUCUUAUCUCAUCAUGGGCUUAUGACUCCUCAUGAGCUGCACAGGAUGCUGGCUAUAAACAGAAUCCUGGGAAAGGGUCUGAAAAUGCCUGUGUAAUGCCAGGGCGUGGGAGGCAAAGAGUGAAGGGUCCAGGCGGGGACACCAGGAGAGAGGAAAAGACACCCACAACACAGCUGGCUCUGGUUAGCAAAACAACCAAGGCCAGGGUAGGCAAGGCCAAAGGGCCCGAACCUUGCUAAGGAUCAGACUGCUCAGUUGAGAUGUUACUUUUGGGAAUCUCUACUUGACCCUCUCCACCCCAGUACUGUCCUCCAAGCAGGGUUGAAGGACCCCUCUGGGCCUCCACAGAAACCUUGUUUCUCUCUCUGGUCACAAGAGCUUCAGGUGGGGCAAUCCCCUGUUCACUUGUCACUCCUAUUUAGCUGUAAGUGUGUAGAGUUCAAGACUGCUCUUUUAUCUUCAGUGUCUUUCAUACUGCCUGGCUCAGACUAGCUUUCGGAAAAUAUUUCCUUUUUUUUUUUUUCCCCUGAGACGGAGUCUUGCUCUGUCGCCCAGGCUGGAGUGCAGUGGCAUGAUCUUGGCUCAUGCAACCUCUGCCCCUGGGAUUUAAGCAAUUCUUCUGCCUCAGCCUCCAGAGUAGCUGGGAUUACAGGUGCACGCCACCAUGCCUGGCUAAUUUUUUUGUAUUUUGGUAGAGAUGGGGUGUCACCAUGUUGGCCAGGCUGGUCUCA